AAGAAGGUAGUUUAAGACAAAAACGUCAGGUUGUCGGUCUGAAGAUGCCGUUUGGUUCUUCUUU
rnacentral:tRNA from 1 species